AAGUAAUUAGUUCAAUGGUAGAGCAUUUCGUUUACAACGAAAAAGUUAUGGGUUCGAAUCCCUUAUUACUUA
rnacentral:tRNA from 1 species